GAGGGAUUUUUAUUCAGGGGAGUGAAUAAUUUUGAAACUGCAGAAUUCAUUAAAGGUUGCAUUUUCAGUUAAAUUUGGGAAAACCACUUGAAAUAUUUGUUGUGUUGAGCUAUUUCAAUGAAAUGAGUUUGUUUUAUUUAUUGCUAACAGCUGAAAGUCUGGAAAUGGCCUCACCUUUACUGCAAUUGAAGUUUCUUGCUUUUUCUUCCUUGUUGCCAGCCUGGAAAUAUGAAAAGGAAAUCUCUCACAGAGGACAUUCAAAUUAGGAAGAUGGCCAGAGGUGCACAAGGAAAAUGGGAGGAAAGCAUUUGUCUGAGCUUCUGCUUAAAGCCCUGGUUUCCUGUGGCGAUGACUCUACCUUGUUACAUUUACAGAGCCAUUACAGUGCAUUAUGAGCCCUUGUUAAAAGGCACAAUUUACUACCAUUCACUUCUAUUCACUGAGGUCUAUGACUGACAAACUAUGACUGUAAAUAGGCCAACAACAUUGGACCACUCCUACAUUUAAAUUAUUUGUUUGUCUUCCAUUUAUGCUGCAAAUGUGCUUUUAUUAGUUUUUAUUGUCUUUGGCUGUAGGUUAAACAUUUUGGACAAGUAAAAAAAAAAAAAAAAAAAAAAAA